GGGAAUGGGUGGAGAUAUUGAUUCUGCUUCCUGCUUGCCUGGUGUGUUAUAGUGCGGUGAAUACCUGUUGUUCAGUGACAUUAAGGAUCAAAACCAGUUAUUGGAGCAUUGGUGCUAAUUCACGUGUGACCAACAAGAAGACGACUGAGAAGAACCAAACCUCAGAGAUCUACUGUACAUGCUGACUGGGGAGGAACAAAUGGAGUUUGAUGAAGUUGCAGUUUAUUUCUCGGAGGAGGAGUGGGG